rnacentral:tRNA from 1 species
AUUUCUAUUUAUAUAGUUUAGUAAAAACAUUACAUUUUCAUUGUAAAAUCAAAUUAUCUUUUAUAA